rnacentral:rRNA from 1 species
UACGUAGGGGGCAAGCGUUAUCCGGAUUUACUGGGUGUAAAGGGAGCGUAGGUGGCAUGGUAAGCCAGAAGUGAAAACCCGGGGCUCAACUCCGCGGAUUGCUUUUGGAACUAUCAGGCUGGAGUGCUGGAGGGGUAAGCGGAAUUCCUGGUGUAGCGGUGAAAUGCGUAGAUAUCAGGAGGAACACCGGUGGCGAAGGCGGCUUACUGGACAGUAACUGACACUGAGGCUCGAAAGCGUGGGGAGCAAAC